rnacentral:rRNA from 1 species
CUGGCGGCGUGCUUAAUACAUGCAAGUCGAGCGGACCGACGGGAGCUUGCUCCCUUAGGUCAGCGGCGGACGGGUGAGUAACACGUGGGUAACCUGCCUGUAAGACUGGGAUAAUUCCGGGAAACCGGGGCUAAUACCGGAUGCUUGAUUGAACCGCAUGGUUCAAUCAUAAAAGGUGGCUUUUAGCUACCACUUACAGAUGGACCCGCGGCGCAUUAGCUAGUUGGUGAGGUAACGGCUCACCAAGGCGACGAUGCGUAGCCGACCUGAGAGGGUGAUCGGCCACACUGGGACUGAGACACGGCCCAGACUCCUACGGGAGGCAGCAGUAGGGAAUCUUCCGCAAUGGACGAAAGUCUGACGGAGCAACGCCGCGUGAGUGAUGAAGGUUUUCGGAUCGUAAAACUCUGUUGUUAGGGAAGAACAAGUACCGUUCGAAUAGGGCGGCACCUUGACGGUACCUAACCAGAAAGCCACGGCUAACUACGUGCCAGCAGCCGCGGUAAUACGUAGGUGGCAAGCGUUGUCCGGAAUUAUUGGGCGUAAAGCGCGCGCAGGCGGUUUCUUAAGUCUGAUGUGAAAGCCCCCGGCUCAACCGGGGAGGGUCAUUGGAAACUGGGGAACUUGAGUGCAGAAGAGGAGAGUGGAAUUCCACGUGUAGCGGUGAAAUGCGUAGAGAUGUGGAGGAACACCAGUGGCGAAGGCGACUCUCUGGUCUGUAACUGACGCUGAGGCGCGAAAGCGUGGGGAGCGAACAGGAUUAGAUACCCUGGUAGUCCACGCCGUAAACGAUGAGUGCUAAGUGUUAGAGGGUUUCCGCCCUUUAGUGCUGCAGCAAACGCAUUAAGCACUCCGCCUGGGGAGUACGGUCGCAAGACUGAAACUCAAAGGAAUUGACGGGGGCCCGCACAAGCGGUGGAGCAUGUGGUUUAAUUCGAAGCAACGCGAAGAACCUUACCAGGUCUUGACAUCCUCUGACAACCCUAGAGAUAGGGCUUCCCCUUCGGGGGCAGAGUGACAGGUGGUGCAUGGUUGUCGUCAGCUCGUGUCGUGAGAUGUUGGGUUAAGUCCCGCAACGAGCGCAACCCUUGAUCUUAGUUGCCAGCAUUCAGUUGGGCACUCUAAGGUGACUGCCGGUGACAACCGGAGGAAGGUGGGGAUGACGUCAAAUCAUCAUGCCCCUUAUGACCUGGGCUACACACGUGCUACAAUGGGCAGAACAAAGGGCAGCGAAGCCGCGAGGCUAAGCCAAUCCCACAAAUCUGUUCUCAGUUCGGAAUCGCAGUCUGCAACUCGACUGCGUGAAGCUGGAAUCGCUAGUAAUCGCGGAUCACCAUGCCGCGGUUGAAUACGUUCCCGGGCCUUGUACACACCGCCCGUCACACCACGAAGAGUUUGUAACACCCGAAGUCCGGUGAGGUAACCUUUUGGAGCCAGCCGCCGAAAGUGGGAC